GCAAAUACAAACUGAAAAUCUAGAGCCAAAUGUAUGGCUUAGUUACUCCCUCCCAAGUUCCAACAUUAUCCUAAUCUAGAGCCAAAGCAUAUGAUUUUGUAUAGCUGCAGACCAAAGCUUCAAGCAUGAUUAAAAAUCAAGAGCAACGUGAUAAGGUGGGAAUUAAGUAGGACAACCGACAAGUCUGGCUAACAAAGAUGACGAUGACACAUUACCAGCAAACAAAAUAUGUAAACUUCUGGUUGUGUGUCCAUUCUUUAGAUUUUCAUCAUCUAAUAGCAAAAUAAACAUCAAAGACGUGUGAAUGAAGAUUGUAGGGAGUAAACAAGGUCAUGUUACCCACAACAGUUACAAGCAAU
rnacentral:rRNA from 1 species